rnacentral:rRNA from 1 species
GACGAACGCUGGCGGCGUGCCUAAUACAUGCAAGUAGAACGCACAGUUUAUACCUUCGCUUGCUACACCAUAGACUGUGAGUUGCGAACGGGUGAGUAACGCGUAGGUAACCUGCCUGGUAGCGGGGGAUAACUAUUGGAAACGAUAGCUAAUACCGCAUAAUAUUAAUUAUUGCAUGAUAAUUAAUUGAAAGGUGCAAUUGCACCACUACCAGAUGGACCUGCGUUGUAUUAGCUAGUAGGUGAGGUAACGGCUCACCUAGGCGACGAUACAUAGCCGACCUGAGAGGGUGAUCGGCCACACUGGGACUGAGACACGGCCCAGACUCCUACGGGAGGCAGCAGUAGGGAAUCUUCGGCAAUGGACGAAAGUCUGACCGAGCAACGCCGCGUGAGUGAAGAAGGGUUUCGGAUCGUAAAGCUCUGUUGUAAGAGAAGAACGGGUGUGAGAGUGGAAAGUUCACACUGUGACGGUAUCUUACCAGAAAGGGACGGCUAACUACGUG